rnacentral:ncRNA from 1 species
AAGAGCCGUAUGAAGGGAGACUUUCACGUACGGUUCCGAGAGAGGCUGAGGGUGAAAUUCCCUUGGUCUACUCGAC